UACAGAGGUCCCAAGCGUUGUUCGGAUUCACUGGGCGUAAAGGGUGCGUAGGCGGUCAUUUAAGUCUGACGUGAAAUCUCCGGGCCUAACCCGGAAACUGCAUUGGAUACUAUCCGGCUCGAGGAAUGGAGGGGAGACUGGAAUACUUGGUGUAGCAGUGAAAUGCGUAGAUAUCAAGUGGAACACCAGUGGCGAAGGCGAGUCUCUGGACAUCUCCUGACGCUGAGGCACGAAAGCGUGGGGAGCGAACGGG
rnacentral:rRNA from 1 species